ACUCCGGCCCUUCCGCCCAGCAAGUAGAGGCGGCUUAAAGAAACAGGAACCUUUUCCCCGCCGGUAUGGGGUCUGGAGGAACGUGAUUUCCUAGCAAACGCCAAGAGGCAGCUUUCUUUUUCCCCAAAACUUUUUUUUUUCUUUUUGCAGCCCUGUGGUGGAGGGAGCACCCUGAUCCCUUUGCUGCAGACGAGGAAACUGAGGCUCAGAGAGGGUCCGAGAUCUUACAGCUGGUGCGGGGCAGAGCAAGACGCCAACCUAUGCCUGUUGGAUUCCAAAGUUUAUACUUUAAUCGUUCGUCUGGCAGAUUCUUACAAAAAUCCUGGGAGGUGUGUAUUCUGUUGUCCCUUUGCAGAUAAAGAAACUGAUAAUCAGCAAAGAGACUACGUAGUGACUACCGCUUAUAGGGCACUGCACAGUCUGCAAAGCAGUUUCACGUAUGUUGUUUCAUUUGAUCCUCAAAACAUCUUGGAAUUAAAGACGAUUUUUGUUAGUCCUA